UACGUAGGGCGCAAGCGUUGUCCGGAAUUACUGGGCGUAAAGAGCUCGUAGGUGGUUUGUCGCGUUGUCCGUGAAAACUCACAGCUCAACUGUGGGCGUGCGGGCGAUACGGGGCAGACUAGAGGUAUGCAGGGGAGAACGGAAUUCCUGGUGUAGCGGUGAAAUGCGCAGAUAUCGGGAGGAACACCAGUAGCGAAGGCGACACUCUGGGCCGGUACUGACGCUGAGGAGCGAAAGCGUGGGGAGCGAACAGG
rnacentral:rRNA from 1 species